UACGGAGGGGGCUAGCGUUAUUCGGAAUUACUGGGCGUAAAGCGCACGUAGGCGGCUAUUCAAGUCAGAGGUGAAAGCCCGGAGCUCAACUCCGGAAUUGCCUUUGAAACUAGAUAGCUUGAAUCAUGGAGAGGUCAGUGGAAUUCCGAGUGUAGAGGUGAAAUUCGUAGAUAUUCGGAAGAACACCAGUGGCGAAGGCGACUGACUGGACAUGUAUUGACGCUGAGGUGCGAAAGCGUGGGGAGCAAACAGG
rnacentral:rRNA from 1 species